rnacentral:rRNA from 1 species
GGGCAGCGGGGGUGAUGGCUUGCCAUCACCUGCCGGCGACCGGCGCACGGGUGAGUAACACGUAUGCAACCUGCCCGCCACAGGGGGAUAAGCGGAAGAAAUUCCGUCUAAUACCGCGUGACGCGGCGUCGGGGCAUCCCGGUGCCGCCAAAGGGAUUACCGGUGGCGGAUGGGCAUGCGGCGCAUUAGCUAGUCGGCGGGGUAACGGCCCACCGAGGCGACGAUGCGUAGGGGUUCUGAGAGGAAGGUCCCCCACACUGGUACUGAGACACGGACCAGACUCCUACGGGAGGCAGCAGUGAGGAAUAUUGGUCAAUGGGCGGGAGCCUGAACCAGCCAAGUCGCGUGAGGGAUGACGGUCCUACGGAUUGUAAACCUCUUUUGCCGGGGAGCAAGCGUGCGUUCGUGAACGCGCGUCGAGAGUACCCGGAGAAAAAGCAUCGGCUAACUCCGUGCCAGCAGCCGCGGUAAUACGGAGGAUGCGAGCGUUAUCCGGAUUUAUUGGGUUUAAAGGGUGCGUAGGCGGGAUGCCAAGUCAGCGGUAAAAAAGCGGUGCUCAACGCCGUCGAGCCGUUGAAACUGGCGUUCUUGAGUGGGCGAGAAGUAUGCGGAAUGCGUGGUGUAGCGGUGAAAUGCAUAGAUAUCACGCAGAACUCCGAUUGCGAAGGCAGCAUACCGGCGCCCUACUGACGCUGAGGCACGAAAGCGUGGGUAUCGAACAGGAUUAGAUACCCUGGUAGUCCACGCAGUAAACGAUGAAUGCUAACUGUCCGGUGCGAAUGAGCGCUGGGCGGUACAGCGAAAGCGUUAAGCAUUCCACCUGGGGAGUACGCCGGCAACGGUGAAACUCAAAGGCAUUGACGGGGGCCCGCACAAGCGGAGGAACAUGUGGUUUAAUUCGAUGAUACGCGAGGAACCUUACCCGGGCUCA